CAGCUUGAGCCACAGAGAACCAAGUACAAAAUUUCCCGAUGAAGGUCCGGAAAGCAGGUCACAAUCCCAGCGCUGGGGAGGAAGAGGCGAACACAUUACUGUGAUCCAGACCAGCCUGGUGUACACAGCGAGAUCCAGACAGACGAGCAGAGACUGAUGAUGGCAUGUGUUGCCAUUUCUUCUUUCCAUCCCAUGUUAAAUCUCUUUUCCUGGAAAGAUGAUCUGUGCCAAGAGAAGAAGGCUUGCAGUGGAAGAAGUCAUGAUGGGCAGGGAAUGGUGCUGCCUUGGGAAUAUAGUGUCCUCUGUUCCAGCAUGUUCCAUAGCCUAACCUAUAGACCCCAGUAAAAACUUGGGGAUCUAUCGGCCCCUGGCCACUUAUGCAGACACUAGAAGAAAGUCAUGUGGUCGCUUUAGUUUCUUUCCUCCUCUUAGUUAGAAAUAUGGAGGUAGAAGGUGCUCCCUCUCCAGCCCCAGCACUGCUCACUGUAUGUAGCGUCUGGCAAAAGGAGUUGGCAUUCAUUACCUGCUGUUCAUAUAUAAACAGAGGGUGCUGACGAGUGUGGCACAGCACUGUGUGGUCUACACUGGUGCUAAGAAACAAAUUCACCAUGUUCACAUAAGCAUCCAGAACUCAGGACCUGUGAGAAAAACAUACAGAUCACCAUUUCCACCCGGUGGAUGGAAAUCUGUAGGAUGCUUACCUUCCUGCUCACUGAAGGAGCUGCUCUAAGCACAUGCUCCCCAGAAGAGAAAAUCAGUCACCUGCAUCACCAUCAUAACUCUACAGUUCAACCAAGGUCCUUACAGGUGGAGGCGGGUCUGAGGCUCUGGUGGUCACCAAUGUGACAGAAAAAGGCACCGGAUGCUGGCUGGGACAAGGUGUUCUUUCCCAGAGGAAAUUCUUAAGACAGUUUCUGAAAGCCUCUGCUGUUUAUGCUUCCGGGCUGCGCUACUCCCACUCCCACAGCGAUUGCCACGGAUGCUGCAAGUUGUUUGCUGUUUGUGUAGAAAAUGCGCAGGACUUCAUCCACCGUGGAGGGAUCAUGGGGAUUCUGGAGGAGAGAUGGAGCCAUGUCAGCACUGCUCCUCUAAGCAUACCACUAUGACGUCAGCAAGCUCAUGUUCCAGGAGCCUCUUCAGCUCCCCACGAGUGAGCACUUUGCAGUCACCCUCUGACCUGGCAUAGCAUCCGAAGGCUUCGAUGAUCCCGUGAAUGUUUUGCAGCAACUGAGGCAUUUGUGCAGCUAAGCUGGAAGACAUGAAAGCCCCUGUAUGGGCAACAUAGACAACCCUAACCCUAACCCUAACCCUAACCCUAACCCUAACCCUAACCCUAACCCUAACCCUAACCCUAACCCUAACCCUAACCCUGCGUUUUCCUCACAGUACUCUGUGAUUUAGUCCUUUCUAUUUGGGGUUUCUCUACCUUCCUCCAUCUUUUCCUCAAAAUGUACUUUAUCGUGGAAAGGAGGAACCCUCAGGACUUGGAAGGAUAUUUUUGAGUCAACAUUUAAUGCCAGGCUUCACCACCUGCCUGAUGUGAGCUGGACCAACAUGCUUCUCUUUUCCGAGCCUCAGUGGAUUCACUGUGAAGGAAGCUGAUACUUAGCACUCACUUCAGAGAGUUAUCAUAAAGGCUUUAGAAGAUAAUUCAUAAAAGGCACCCUGCUGAUGCCUGGUUUAUGCUAAGUGGUAGCUAUUAAGUAUCAUCAUCAUUAUUAUUACACACAUUUACACAUAUAUAAUUUGUGUACAGCUAUAGACGCUGAACUGCUCACAAAGCACUUUCCUGUGUAGCAUAGCUUAUGCCCCUUAUUAUAACUAGUAUUUCCAUAGGUGGGGAAAGAGCUCAGAAGAGGUAGAUUUGUGAAGGUCACACAUUAUUUUCUUUUAACCCGUAUCCAAUUAGUUCUUUAGACUAUACCUUUGAAUGGAAUUUUUUUUUUGCCUGUUUCUAGGGUGGUAGUGUCCUACUGGGGACAUCAGAAGGUAUUAAGUACAAACAGGGGUUAGCCCCUUUUGGCUUGGAGCUCUAAGGAUCCAGCCCUACCCUCUCAACUUUCCUGGAGAAGGGAUUCAGGAAGAGGAUAGGAUGCAUCUUUUGGGGAUACUAGGUUUGGGGGUGCCUUUCUGGUGCCAAGAUACUCUGUCCUCAGUCCUGGAACCUGUAAGAGAGAUCAGCUUCUGUAAAAGACACAUGGUCUAUCAAAUCUAAAGGGCUGAUGACCUGUGAUGGAUGGUUCCUAGACAAAAUUUUUAAGCAGGCGAAGUUGAAGAUGAGUGUGACUGAAUGGGCAAGAGGCAUAAAUAUGUUAAAUAGAAGACUCGGGGAGAGCAGAAGGAGGAGAGGUGCCAAAGACUGAAAGGUUGAAAUACAAAGAGAGAUGGAAGCUUGCAGCAUCUGGAAAACCAGUGAAGGGACCUUUGAGAUGAGGAGGAGGAUUGUAGGGAGAGGAUGGCAUAGAGAAGCAAGGAGUGAGGGAAGGAAGGAGGUAUGGUUCAGGGAAAAGCAGGUGAGUGUGGUCAGAGGAUUGAGGAAGUCUAGACCCCAGGUGGGCUGUACAGGGGCAACUUUUCUACUGACCCAGGAGUCAGUAACUUAGACGCUUCCUUCUGUGUGCUUCAGGGCAUAUAACUUCAAAUAUAUCCCUUGACACAGAUGGAAAACACCCCCGUGUACAUGACAGUCUUUAAUCGCUGACCUAUUAGUAGUGAAAAGACCAAAAUGUCCUUUUAGUAACAAUUCAGAUUCUUAGAAUAAAUCUACAAAUUUAGCUUGCCUAUGUAAAAAUUUAGAAUCAGGAAGGAAGUUCAUAUUGGCCCCUUUCUCCAUAAGACAAGUUUAUUGUCUGCAUUGGUAGGAACAAACUGCUUCUGAUCCCACAGGCUCUGAGCACUGCAAAGAACCUUCCAUAACCUUAGGGAAAAAAAAAGUUACGCUGAUCCAGGAAGGUGCGUGGGUGGUGGGUGGUUCCAUUGUUGCUGCCCACAUCAUCCCGUGGGAAGAGCUGCAGGCUAGAGCCAGAGAGAGGAGAAAGCUGGAUUGCCUCAGAAGCAGCGCAUUUCCCAAGUGCUCUGGCUUCAGCAAGCCAGGGGCUCUGUGGGGCCCUUCCUGCCUCCAGCUCACCACUGAGACCUAACAGCUCAGAUCUGACAGCCCUGGAUUCAUGAGUUCAGCUUGCCAAGACACUGAGAAUGAGCAAGAAUUUUUUCUGGAAGGAACUUACCUAAUGCCCAGGCAGGAUGGGACAAGUUUCUGUCAAGCAGUGUGUAGAGUACUUGUCAGUGGGGACAUGAACCUUUUAUAGAGGAUUUAAUGGCACUCAUAUGUAUUUUAGACAGGAUGUCUCCACCCUACACGAAGGCUUGAUUCAUCUAAGGCUCAGCCCAGCCCAGCCCCACCUCCUUUCUUCUCCAUCUCACCUUCUGACCCACGGCUGCUUCCCUUUAAUUACGGGCCCUUUCCACCAUGGUUGGAGCUGCCACUUGCAAUGGUCUUCUUCUUAUGACUAGGAGGUCCCUUUCCAAUGAGUUGGGCUCAGCAGUACUUUACACAGGCCUGAGAUCCUAGGGGAUAUUUUGCAUGUCCAGGAGCCUGCAAAGUCAUAGAAGUCUUGUUCUUUAUUCAAGCAUUCAAGAACAUAUCUGUUUAUUGAAAAUUAUUCCUUUCAACGUGUCCCCCACACCCCCCACUUUCCGAUACCACUGCUGUUAACUUAGACAAGUUCUAAGUUCUUGUUUUGGAAUUGCCUGGUUUAUGAGGCCUUAAAUGGUCUUUGUGUGUGUGUGUGUGUGUGUGUGUGUGUGUGUGUAUGCACACAUGUAUGUACGCAUGCAUGGAAGUUAGAGGUAAACUUCAGCUGUUUUCCUCAGGUACCUUCCUCACUCCAUGUUCUUUUUCUGAGGCAAUUUCUCACUGGCCUGAAACUCUCCCAUUAGGCUAGGCUGGCUGGCCAGAAAGCUCCAGGAAUCUGCCUGUCUCUACUUCCCCAGUGCUGAGGUUGCAAGUACACAACACCACACCCAAGUUUUCUUAAUCUGGAUUCUGGGGGUUGAACUCAGGUCCUGUGCUUUUAAGCCAAAUACUUUAUAGACUGAGCUAUCCCUGCCCCACCUCCCAACCAGAUGUGGUUUCAAUUUUAUUAUUUAUUAGUUUAUUUUACAGCCCACCCUCAGUUUAUCCUCCCUCUCCUCCUUCUAGUCUCUCCCCUCCCCACUCUCACUCUGCCACCUCCCCAUCCAACUCCUCGUCCAUUUUUAUUCAGAAAAGGGCAGGCCUCCCAUGGAUAUCAACAAAGCAUGGCAUAUCAAGUUGCAGUAAGAUGAAGCACCUCCCCUUGUAUUAAGGUUGGGCAAUCAAUCCAGUAUGAGGAAUAGGGUCCCAAAAGCCAGCAAAAGGUACCCCCUGCUACAUUUGUUAGGAGUCCGACAAGAAGACCACGCUACGCAACUGUCACAUAUAUGCAGAGGGCCUCGGUCAAUUCCAUGCAGGCUCCCUGGCUGUUGGUUCAGCAUCUGUGAAAUCCUAUGAGCACAGGUUAGUUGAUCCUGUGGGUUUUCUUGUGAUGUCCUUGAUGGUUUCCAUUUUUAUUCAAACAACAACAAAAUACUUUCUGCUCUGAAUAGGUAGUAUUUUACAGGUGGUGAGAAAGGGAUUGACAUGAUCAUGCGUGGAAUUUUCACUUAACAGUAAGAACCCAGUGGCCCUGUGGAUAUGAGAAGCAAGGCCAAAGGAAAGAAUCCUUCAUACUGACUUGUAGAAACUCCUAUCCUCCACAGUUCACAGCAAUAUCUAACGUGAAAGUAUUAGUCAUUUCAGCCUAGCUUUCACAGUAGCAAUACCUUCCUUUGAAUUCUCUCCUGCCAUACUUCAUAGUCACUGUCUCUGGGCCACAAGAGGAAUGUAAUUGUUAACUGUGUUUGUGCAUGUGCUCAUGCUUGCAUGCUCAUGCACACACACACACACACACACACACACACACACACACACACGCCUUUGUAGACAGUUCGGUGGACUCAGCAUCAUUUGUUAAGUCAGUUGUCUUUCCCAAUGUAGUCUGCACCACCUGCCAGAUCACCGUUGGUUAGUGGGAGACACAUCAGGGCUUCUCUCAGGCUGAGUGACAGGUAACUUCUCACAAUGAAGAUUCUUGAGUGGCCUGAAUUUCUGUCAUCAUAGCAGCAGCCAAUAAUCCAUCCCUUACUGAAAGCCUGCUCACCAGACCUUAUACACACUGAGGAACGCACAAUGGUGAAGGGGUAAUAGAGGGUGGCCAUUUAUGCUGUACUCCCAAAGUAGCAGACAAUGUUAAUUGCAUUUGCCUAAAAAUACUCACAUUUUGAAGAUAUUCUGAAGGCUGACUGAUUAUUAACACCAUGAUUGCAGAGGUAGAAUGCUACAGUGAGAGCCAAAAUGACCUCAGGCUAUCUUUAGUACUUUUAAUAGCCAUUUAUCCUCUACCAGGGUAUCUGAAUUAACGCCAUAUUGACUUGUAGAUUGAAGUUGGAAUAUUGCUAAGCUUGACAUGGCUAGCUUGUACCAACUUAAAAGAUGAGUUUGUCAUCAGAGUACAUCUGAGACUCAUAGCCGAGAUUUCCCUGUCUUGCUAUUACCCACCUGCAUUAUGUCUUAUCAGAAUGUCCAGUAGGGGUGAUUUGUCUUUUGUUCUGAGUCUGUAACCCCCAUGUUGGAACAUGCUACCUAAGGCACCCUGAAUCUGUUAUCAGGUCAUGGUCACUUAUGUUUAAGAAUAAACUAUUUCCUUUGGAACAACA